GGUUCGGCAAGUCCGACGCCGGCGGCACCCCGCUCUGCCCCUUCGACUGCGACUGCUGCUUCUGAGCUUUUUCCCGGGGGUUUUCCUGUGCUCGAGGUGAUGUUCUUAUGUCAAAUCCUUUGUAUGUUUGUAAUGCUUGAUGGAUUCUGUUGGGAACAUGCGCUUAGAUUUGUGCUCUAAUGGAAUGAAAUUUUGGUUCGUGUUAUUGAUGAUACUGGAUGAUAACUUGGGGGGACCUAUCUACCUCUGUUUUACAUCACUUCUUUGUGGUGCUAAUGCCAUGUCAAAUCUCUAUGAAUAGAGGAUGGUGUAUUCUUACAGCAAAGAAAGAUGGAUACUAGUUCACAGG
rnacentral:sRNA from 1 species